AUUGUUUCUCGGCCUUUUGGCUAAGAUCAAGUGUAGUAUCUAAUACAAGAAAGCAUAUUGGAGCAAGGAUAGUACAUACCUGUAAUUUCACCACUCUUUUAUUUUUUUGAGACAGAGUCUCUGCAGUCCAGGCUGGCCUCAAACUGUGGCAAUCCUCUUGCCUCAGCCUCCCAAGUGCUGGGAUUACAGGUGUGCACCA
ensembl:snRNA U2 U2 spliceosomal RNA